rnacentral:lncRNA from 1 species
AUUCAGCUGGGGAUUUGGAGGCCCUAAAGGGCAGUGUAGCCAAUGGACAGGUGAUCCCAGGUACCUGCAUGAGUGGAGGCAGGCCCUUCCUGCAGACCUGCACUGAACUAUAACGUGGGCAGAUGUUCAACUCUUAUAUGAGUUGGUGACACUUUGGUUGAAACAUUUCCAAGGACUGAAGAAUAUGUUUAUUAUCAAACCAACUGAUUAUGAAAAUAAUCUGUAUUUUUAAGGACAGGGCUGGCCUGAGUGAUCAAUAGAAUACUGUAGACGCAACAACAUGUGGCUUCUGAGGAAGCAUUGUAGCCUCUUGGUUUGUUCAUGCUGUGGAAGCCAGCUGCCAUGUCAAGAGGAUGCUCAAGCAGCCAUGUGGAAAGGCCCGUAUGGCACAGCAAGAGAGUGGCCAACUGCAAGCCAGGAAGAAACCUUCAGCAGAUCCCAACCAUGCUAGUACCCUGAUCCAGACAUUCAGCCUUCAGAACUGUAAAAAGUAGAAUA